UCCUAGAGAUGUAAAAUUAUUAUAAACUUUGAAGGACUCAUCCAACAUUGAUUGCUCUUGAAAACUCUCUAACCAAAAAUGUGGUAUGUACAACCAUUCACGGCUUGCCCAGAAAAUAGCACCACAGUCAACAAAGGUACUGAAGCGAGAUUACAGCAUAGGCAUCCUUUUCUCUCCUACAUCAGCUCCAGGUGGAAGUAUUUGCAAAGCCCUGACGUGCCUUCACGAGGUUGGCCUGAAUGUUUGACAGAAUGGCAGGGACAAGGCUGGCUGGUUUCCAGACAAGGAAGCUGCUGUGUGUCACCCAAGGACGCUGCUGUGUGUCACUCAGUGCCACCUUCUCAUUUGAGAGCAGAUGAGGGGGAGUCAGGGAGGUAAGUGGCUGUCACCAGGACACGAUGCGAGCAGAACUCAGCUUAUUCAGCCUCCAUGCCAGGGACCUUUGCUGCUCUCUUUAGGUCUGAUGGGGCCUGCUUUGGGUGUGCUGAUCCCAGACUCCCUUCCAUGCUCUGCAGCUAUAGGAAAGCAAAGUUACUCUUAAUCCACAAGGCACAUCUCGGUGUAUCCUUCACCAGCAGAAGCUGG
rnacentral:lncRNA from 1 species